rnacentral:tRNA from 1 species
CGAAGUAUAGCAUAUAUAAUGCCUUUUACUUACACUAAAAACAAAACUUACAGUUUGCUUCGCU